AAAUUAUCAAUUUGAUAUCACCAUAUUAUUAAUUUUUAUUCAAAUACAUUAAAUAUGAACAUAAAAAAAUAUUUUACUGAUAAUGUGACCAAGUAUUUAUCAGCUUAUCAGAAUUGCGUUUGGCGCAGUCAAUCUACUCAAAUGUUAAAAAUCUCACAAUCUCAAUUAGAACAAAAACAAACAAAUAUUCAAAAAGAAUCCUAAAAAAGCAUCUUAUCAAAUUCAUUCAUUGCUUACUCAUAUAUGUAUUUUUAA
rnacentral:lncRNA from 1 species